AUGACAGAAGCCACUGUCAACACAAUAAUUGUGUACAUCACACGUAUUCACAUUUCAUUGCAAUUUCCAUCCAAAUGCAGGAAAGCUCCUCUGCCAAAUACUCAGGGCAAGGGAGAGACCCACCCGUCAUCUCAACGAAGACAAUGAGAAAGUGAAGAUUGACUUGCUUGUUAUCAGAAGGUUGCCAGCUGCUGCGUGCACACACUGGGAGGAUAAUUUCAGAGGAGCUUUGUUGCAAGUGCCCUUCUUUUCCAAUCAGUAGGCAUCAUCUCCGCCGAAUAAGAAGCUAACACAAACACUAGUAUUCGAGUCAUUAUAGUGACAUGUAAUACUACAAUUUUCUGGGCUAUUGAUUAGUGCUAUUCUGGCAUUGUAACCCAAAACACUGGAGGAAGUCAAGUGAAGAAUGAGACGAGGAGGACUUAGCAUGCUGGUGAGCUGGUUAAAAUACCUUUGCUGAAAAACUGGCUUCGUCAAAAUCACAACUUCCGGCCAAAAGGUACAAAUUUUGAGACAAAGGUUUUGCAGGCAGUUUGGGGAUUUUUGUCUGGGUCUCCAACCUGUCAAAUUAGCUCUCUAGUCACCAAGCUAUCCAUUAUGCUCUCCCAGGUUAUACUUUAUUUUAUUUUAGUGCAGUUUCAUUCUGAGCUGCAUCACAACCAAAUUUUUGAAAUAGCUAAAAAAAUUAGUGCUUCUCUGUCCCUGACCCCUCCUUAGUGUUCAGACAGAGGGAAAUAACUCUAUCAUAAACUCGAUGGGGAGCUUAUUGAUAACAUAAAAUGGUACACCAUGCUUUUCAAGACAUUUGUUAUUACAGUCAGGAGAGAGGAUGUGAGUCAGAAGGUUUUUUCUCAGUUUCAUUUGUUUUAUUUAUUCACUUGUUUUACUGAAACCUAAGUAGCUGUUAGAGGUAGAAGUCCUAAGAUGGAUGUGUUCUUUGACACACAACUUAAUUUCCAAAACAAACAAUUUCAACUACUUUUCUGAGUGUCAUCCUUCCUGAGAACAUCUGAUGCAUAUGCAGAAAACAAAAAGUCAGCUGCAGAAGAGCUCUAGCAUUGGACUGCUCUUCAGGGAGGUUCACCUUUUUUACCACCACUUCAUUUCCUCCAGCACUCGUCUCUAUCUCUGAAUUAAUUUUACUUCA
rnacentral:lncRNA from 1 species